AUGAGUGUUGUACAAUGUCCCCAUCUUUCUCUAUCUAACACCGACUCUCUGCCUCUCCACCCCCCCCCAUCGAUGCACCUCCGCCUCUGCCCCUAAACCUCCGUCUCUAAAACCCGACCGUCCGGCCGCAUACUCCGAUCGCCGUUGACAGACGACCGUUGUUCUUUGUUUUUGUAUGUUUACACUUCGUUUAGCCUAAAAUUUCUAUGGUUUUGACGGUUUAUUUGUGGUUGUUUUUCUGACCGUUUUUGGGUUUCGUUGUUUAAGUGGUACUUUGAAGACAUUGUGGUUACAUGUGGUUGUUUUGAUGGAUAAGGGGUUGUGAUUCACUCCCCUGGGAGUUUGUUCUAUUUCUUUGUUGUUGUUUAGGUUUUCACAUUUUUGUCUUUGGUUCAGGUUACCUACAGGUAAAUGUUUAGUUCUUAUCUCGAUGAAAAUGAAGAUGGUUUUGAUAUUCAUAUGAAGUAAUGCUAUGACGAUGCUUAAGAUUUGGCAUGGCAUUAUUUAUUGCCGCCAUCUAGAGCUUCUGAGCUUGGUUUCCUGCCUUUUGUAUGGUUUACUUGUGGUCGUCACGACAUGGAGUUUCAU
rnacentral:lncRNA from 1 species